CACACAUAGUCACAUGCAGUAUAGCUUAUAGCUCGAUGUCUUCCAACGCGGGGACUGUGUGCUUUAUCUUGCAGCCUUUCUGUUAAUUAAAAUUAGCCUUUCCUAUGUUCCUCUGCUUUUUCUCACUCAUCUAUAUAUGUAGUGCACACUCCCACUCUGUGCUUUUAAUGGCUAGCCUUAGGAAGUAGGCUGAUUUUAAUCCUUUUUUUUUCCUGUGGAAGACACAACGUUCUACUUUAACAUUUAAUGCUUCCUUGCCCUUUUAUUCUUUUUAUUUUGUUUUUGCCUUUUGUUAGUAAUUAUUUUUUUUUCUUCCUCAUGUAUUAACUGAAUGAUGGUUGUCUAACUCUGAGCUUUUCCUCUGCUUCAGUGACUCCACUUCAGUGAUGAAUACUCUCUCAAGCUGGGGUUGGUACACAAAAAAACAUUCUACACAACUUUUUUUUUUUGGUGACCUCGGUAUUUUCUGUGCAAUCGAUAAAGGCACUGUCUGUAUUUGUUUUAGAUUUGCAUAGUGCUAGUCUUGCAUCAGACCUAGUAAUAUGAUUUUCUUAUGGAUUUAAUAUUUUUAUAUUGACCCCGCUAUCAAGAUGAGACAUCACUGAGUGAAGGAGCACACUUCUUGUAAGACAUUCUGUUAAGGAGUUCACAUGUUUGUCUGCACUUUCCCAAGCUGAACCAAAUACGUUCCUGUUCCUCUAAUUCAGCCCAACAGAGGAUUGGCAUUAGAAAUAGCACUAUCCCAGGGAUCUCUUGCUAUUAUUUUAUGCCUUCUGAUUAUGGUGCUAUUCUUCAACUGUUUCCAGAGAGGAACUAAAGAAAGAGAGUGAACUUAAAAAAGACCAUCCCACCCAUGGUAGACAACAAAACUUCCAUCAACAAAUCUACAUAUGCAGUCACAUACAAUGCUCACUAUUACUAACUAACCAGUUUACCCCUCUAUUUAGAACAGGCGGUCUUUGUAGAAAUUGCUUUGCAAUGUUCAGCAAAUGUCAACUUUUCGAUGACUUGGGCUAUAUUUAUUCCAAACAGGCGAUAACUUCAGUAUCUUAGAUACCACUGUGUGGUGAAGUGGUAACAAUUAAAUGGCAACCUUGUGCACUGACUUCUCUAGGAUUUCUGUGUAGGCUUUUCCAGAUCUUCCAAUCUCUAUAACUGCAAGAUUUAUAAGACAAUUUUACAGUGGGAAUAAGAUGAUGCACACCUCAGCUUGAGAACAGAGAGUUCUUCAAGCUCUCUGCAAAUGGCAGAAGAUUCGGAACCUACCAUGAGGCAUCUUAGCUGUAGUUGCUAGUUACUGAACUGGAGAUUGUAUAUAAAGUAAAUAGCCGUCCAGCCAGGCUUUAGAAACAGAUGCACUUCCCCUCCAUUGAGCACUGAAAUACACAUAUCCAAGGUGCCAUCACUCAAUCAAGUGAGGGAAAGUGAGUAAAUUUUGUCAGUCAGCUGAUUGCUUGGGUGCAGGUGCCCAUUGCAACCUGGCUUAGGAACAGAGGGGGCCGGACACUCUAAAACUAUGCAAAGACCAACUGCAGAGGUGUCUGCAGUGUGUGGACCAAAACAGAAUUAGGUAGGCACAGGCUGGCAAUGUCACAGCAUUCAGUUGUGAACAGGAGUGGACCGUGUGACUUUGGCAAUGCAAAAAUCAGCACUGCUUGGACAGCACUGGAGAAUAACAAAUUCUAAUUAUUUCCUUGCUCUCAAACCAAACCCUCUUCCCGCUGCCUGCCCACUGAGUGCCAGGCCAGCCCCUCUGCAGAGCCACAAAAGGCCAGUCAAUGAGUUCCUACAAACAGGCCUGGAGACUCCUAGCCAGAGAAGGUGGGACAAAAUGAGCAUCAAAGGGCUGUCUUUUGGCUUUGCCACAAGCCCUGUGAAUGGGCAGCAUGUAACCAUGUUGCCUCAGGAGAAGACUGGAAAUGAGGGUUGUAACUUGGAGACUCUUGCUGAACCUUCUGUGUUCUCCCUGCUCUGGGAGACGUACCCAGCACCAGCCCUGUACCUUGUGCAGCAUAUGUCUCAUGGUGUGCCAGUGCAGCUGUGCUGACUGGCGUGCUGUGGUGUGUGAAGCCAUAGCAUCACCCCUUCCUUCGAGCUGACUCUCCACCUAUAUGCCUUUAUCCUUAUGUUCAUUUUGGAUAAAAUGUGGUUUGCAGGGUGCUUAUGCAUAGGGAAGCAUGCUGUGGCUCACCAGCCUAGGAACAUUCUGGAGAAGGCCAGGGGGAGGGGGUUGAGCUCAGCAUGUGGACUAGAGAACUAUGAGCAUGUGAUAAACAAACCCAUAUAUGGGUUUGUUUAACUCUGAUUGGUUAGAGGUUCCUGUUAUGUAACUUGUUAUAUAAGUGCCAUGUGCUAUAAAAUAGCAACGGGAGGGCUUCCUUGCUGGAAGGACUCUGCCUGAUUUUUUUUUUUGUACCAUGGGUUUUCCUUGUGCACAUAUUUGAAUAAAGCUUUGUUGAAUUGAA